AUAUGCCUCAUGUUCUUUGACGCGAAAUUUUAAGGCUCUGGCCAAACUAAAAGAGCCUUAAAAUUUCGCGUCAAAGAACAUGAGGCAUAUGUUA
rnacentral:pre_miRNA from 1 species